GCAACUCGGCUCUGCUCUUGGACUCAUCACUCUCCUGUAGUCAAAAAAAAUCAGUUUGCCUUGCCUCCACUAUUUGCAAAACAAAGACGGGUUUGUUUAAGUUUGGGGGCCAGUUUGGAGGCUGGGGGGAGUUGUUAGUGUUAUAAAUGGAUAUUUGGAUAUGUACGAUUUGUCCAAUUAAUCAAAACAACAAGGUUAAAUUUAGCAGCAAUUCAUUAAUAGCAACAGUUGUAUAUAAAUGAAUGCAAUUACAAUAUAUUAGUUACAUAAAUUUAAGUAAAUACAAAAUUUAGCAGUGAGUAAUUCAGUAUAAUUGAGGCUCAGUUCGAAUAAAGCAUAAGCAAAACUGACCGGGAGAUACCCCGAGCGGAGGUACGGGUAAGACCCUUCCUCUCACACUGUACCGAAUCAGUCAAGCUAAAAAUCUCACUUAUAUACUGUUUACUAAUACAUAUCAACACAGAAUCUUCUAAAAAGCUCCUCCUAGUUCCUAUUCCUAAAAUCUAUGUCACUAUGUUGUAUUGCACAUGCUUCACCAGUGGUCGGGGGUCUCUCCUCCUUUCGGGGGUCUUGUUUCCGAUGAAGGCUCUGGGUCUUCCUCAGUGUUCUCUGAUUAACCUUGCAGGUAGCAAACGUGCAUUAAGCUUAGGGCUAUAUAAUUAAAUAUAUGUCCCCACAACAGGCCUUAGUCCAGUGUCCAGUGCUUUGGAAUCAUCCCAGUUGGGCCCAAUUCAAGAUCGAAAGUUUUAUUUCUGGAUGCUGUUCUUAAACCUAUACCCUUACUAUUCUCACUCCCACCAAACAUCUGGAGGACGAUUCCAUCUGCUUCGUUUAACCAUUUCCUUUAUUCCUUCUGCUCUACAACAAUUAAAUACAAAUUUUAUUUUUUUCUAUUAAUUACAAAGCAACAAUUUUGCUAACACUGUUACAAUCUAAUCAGCACGGAUCGCAUACAUAACGUCAGUUUGCUCUUAGCGGCAGGGCCUCGAGUGGCCGGGCCGGAGGAGCCGCGUCGAUUAUCACCCCGCUCCCCCGGCAGCGCCCCUCCCGCCGCCGCCGGGCGCCUCCUCCUCCCGCGGCGGGGCCGGGCGGCGGCGGCGGCGGCGGGGCCCCCCCCCCCCCCCCCCCCCCCCCCCCCCCCCCCCCCCCCCCCCCCCCCCCCCCCCCCCCCCCCCCCCCCCCCCCCCCCCCCCCCCCCC
rnacentral:lncRNA from 1 species